UAAAAAAUCUGGAAGGAUUAGAGAGCUAAGAAUCUGAAAACACAAAUGGCUGCAAAAUCUAUUGUUUCGUUGGAUUUUCUGAGUGAUUUUUAGUUUUCUCUUUAUUCAUUGAAAUACUUUUGAGUGGUCUCAAAUUUUUCAGUCCCAAAUCCCAUAAGAAAACUAUUUUUCUUUGAUUCCAGUUUUAGAUUAGCUUGCUGCAUUCAAACACACAAAAUACCAAAAAACAUAUGUAUUCAGAAUUAAAAAAACAAAAAAAAUAUGAUCAAACUGAAAAACAAACACUGGUCCAUUUGAUUUUGUGUCUGAAUUUUAGUUUGGUAACUAAAUCACAUUCCUGAAGUUCAUUUUGGCAUUUUGAAGAUCAAGGGAAAUUUCUGUUGGGUUUCUACUAAUCUAGGUUUCGUUUGAUCUGUCCUAGUCUUUCUAUUUGGCUUUUCUGAUUGCCAAAGUUGUCUCUGAAGUGCACUGUGGUGAUAGUUUUGAGGUUAUUAUUGUUGUUGGUUUUCCUACGAUUUUCUGGGUUGUUGCAUAUUUCUGGGAUGUGUUUUGAGUUCUGUUAGUGGUUGUUGCUGACUGCUUCUACUUCUUCUUCGAUUUGAAUUCCAAUUCCAGGCACACAGCUAUAACCUUGGCAAUUGUAAGCUGAAAUCAUGCCCAGCGAAUAUAUGAAGGAUUGAAAUGUGUUUUGACUGAGCUCUCUUCCUGAUUUUUGUAUUUAAACACUUAGUUCAUUGGUAUGACGUACCUUUCUGUUGGCUCUGUAAUAAUUAGACUGAAGAAAUCAUUACUACCCAAAUACAUAAUAAGUUUUUCCCUAAAGUUGCAGUUGUAGUUAAUUUCAUGACUUGAUUAACAGGAUAGUUUAGGUUAGCUUUAGUUCAUUUCUUGUCGGCUACUUCCUAAGUUUGUUUAAAUAGAACUGAGUUCAUUUGGUAGUUAUUAUCAUUUGAAUCUAUAAUUAAAUAGAAUUUGGCAGAACUGUUUUGGUCUGAGUUGG
rnacentral:lncRNA from 1 species